UACGAAGGGUGCAAAUGUUGCUCGGAAUUAUUGGGCGUUAAAGCGCACGUAGGCGGCUUGGCAAGUCGGAAUGGUGAAAUCCCUCCGGCUCAACCAAGGAAGUGCAUCCGAAACUGCUGAGCUUGAGUACUUAAGAGGAUCGCGGAAUUCCCGGUGUAGAGGUGAAAUUCGUAGAUAUCGGGAGGAACACCAGUGGCGAAGGCGGCGAUCUGGGAAGACUACUGACGCUGAGGUGCGAAAGCGUGGGGAGCAAACAGGG
rnacentral:rRNA from 1 species